UUUAUUUUACUAUAAUAGUUGUUAACAAAUCUCCUUAAUGUUACAACAAUGGCAUUAAGGUUCUGCCCUGUAUGGUUAAUUACCAAUAAAACCAGGGGAUUUUAUUGGUAAACUUUUUAUAAUUUUACAUACAUGUAGUAUUGCGUGUUAGUUACAAUUAACAGAGUAAUAGCUGUCUACAACAUGUACUUUACUUUACAAUGAAAAGAAAAACGGAACUUUGACCGUCUUUUGUUUAGGUUUUAGUUUUGGAUUAAUCGAAAGUGAAAGAGCAUGGUUUCGAUCGGAUUAAGAGAUCUUAGAAAGAGAGUUGUAUCAUCUGCUAGCUGUGAGAUUUUUAGGCUAUAUGGAAUUAAUCGUGUCACAGAAUGUUGUUAGCCAAAUGACUUUACUAGAAGUGCUUAAUUCUGGAAAUAUGUGCACAACGAAGAAGUGUGUGAUAUCUAAGUUCAAGAACAAUUGGAUAUUUUUGGCUGUUUCUUUAAUGUUUAUAAAAAAUAACUGUGUAGAAAUAUGUUCGUAUCCUGAAGAAAAGAACAUUGGAAGAUUGUCAUUUACCGAAACUGUACUUUUAUACUUCAAGACUGGCUGUUUUUUACUUGAUUCCAAGAAUAUAUUAUGAUAAAGGAUUAAAGUGUGCCUAUGAUUACUGCAUUUCAUUAAUUUAGUGCUCCAACCAAUUAAGCAAUUUUCAUUUGUUUUAGAUGUGCAUGGAACAAUAUUUUUUAUCCAAGCAGAUUUACCACCGUUAUAUUCAUAGUCUAUACAUUUUUCAUUUACAAAUAAUUUCAUAUAUGCUGUAUUUACUACAUUUUUAAAUAAACAACUAUUCUGAUA